rnacentral:rRNA from 1 species
CCUACGGGGUGCAGCAGUGCGGAAUAUUGGUCAAUGGACGAGAGUCUGAACCAGCCAAGUAGCGUGAAGGAUGACUGCCCUAUGGGUUGUAAACUUCUUUUAUAUGGGAAUAAAAUGUUCCACGUGUGGGAUUUUGUAUGUACCAUAUGAAUAAGGAUCGGCUAACUCCGUGCAAGCAGCCGCGGUAAUACGGAGGAUACGAACGUUAUCCGGAUUUCUUGGGUUUAAAGGGAGCGUAGGUGGAUUGUUAAGUCAGUUGUGAAAGUUUGCGGCUCAACCGUAAAAUUGCAGUUUAAACUGGCAGGCUUUAGUACAGUAGAGGUGGGCGGAAUACGUGGGGUAGCGGUGAAAUGCUUAGAUAUCACGAAGAACUCCGAUUGCGAAGGCAGCUCACUGGACUGCAACUGACACUGAGGCUCGAAAGUGUGGGUAUCAAACAGGAUGAGAUACCCGGGUAGUC